rnacentral:rRNA from 3 species
GGGUAGUUUGACUGGGGCGGUCUCCUCCUAAAGAGUAACGGAGGAGCACGAAGGUUGGCUAAUCCUGGUCGGACAUCAGGAGGUUAGUGCAAUGGCAUAAGCCAGCUUGACUGCGAGCGUGACGGCGCGAGCAGGUGCGAAAGCAGGUCAUAGUGAUCCGGUGGUUCUGAAUGGAAGGGCCAUCGCUCAACGGAUAAAAGGUACUCCGGGGAUAACAGGCUGAUACCGCCCAAGAGUUCAUAUCGACGGCGGUGUUUGGCACCUCGAUGUCGGCUCAUCACAUCCUGGGGCUGAAGUAGGUCCCAAGGGUAUGGCUGUUCGCCAUUUAAAGUGGUACGCGAGCUGGGUUUAGAACGUCGUGAGACAGUUCGGUCCCUAUCUGCCGUGGGCGCUGGAGAACUGAGGGGGGCUGCUCCUAGUACGAGAGGACCGGAGUGGACGCAUCACUGGUGUUCGGGUUGUCAUGCCAAUGGCACUGCCCGGUAGCUAAAUGCGGAAGAGAUAAGUGCUGAAA